ensembl:lncRNA
GUGAGUUUAAAUGCCGUGGUAUUUACACAGGUAGAGAGGAGCAAGAGCACAGAGCAGAAAAAGUGGACCACGAAACCCAAGUGUGUGACCAUGGAUUUGAGUCAUGGAAGAGAGACAUUUUCAACUUUUAUUUUUAAUUAGUCCUUUUAAUUAGUAAUUAGUAUUUUUAAUUAGCUUGUAGUACAUAAUGAUUACAUUCCUCAUGGGGAGUUGGUAAAUGUACACAACACAGCUUAAUUCUGUUUUCAUUCCUGUCCCCUCCCUUUUGCAAAAGAUCUAUCUCUGUCUUUCCUAUCAUCUAUCUUUUAUUUUGUUCUUUGUCUAUUUAAUUUUAUACUUUUUUUUUUUUUUUUGGUACCAGGAAUCGAACUCUGGACCUUGCGCUUGCAAGGCAGGUGCCAGAACCACUGAGCUAAAUCCCCGGCCCUAUACUUUUAAAAUUUAAUUUAUUUGUACUUUGGGUUUUGGGUUUUAUUUAUACUUUGGGGUUCUCAUGUAAGAGGAACAGUAUAAUAUUUAAGCUUGUGUGCCUGAUUUAUUCCACUUAACAUUAUGGUCUCAAGGUGCAUCCAUUUUCCUCCAAAUGGCUCAAGUUUAUCCUUCUUUAUGCCCAGUAUUACUCUAUUAUGUAUAAAUACUACAUUUUCUUUAUCCAUUCAUUUGUUGCCAGACAUGUAGACCAUUUCCAAGAUUUAGCUAUUAUAAGCUGUGCUGCUAUAAACAUAGUAUCUUAGUUACUUUCUCAUUGCUGGGACACAAUACCUGACACCCACAAGUUAAAGGAGGAAAGGUUCAUUUUAGCUCACAGUUUGUAGAGAUUUCAGUCCACAGUUGGCCAGUUCCAAGAUAGAGCAACAUGGCAGAGAAGAAACAGUCCAUGGUGUGGCAGGCAGGAAGCAGCAAGGCUUUCUUCUUCCUUCCCUUUUUACUCCAUCCAGGCUAUAAUCCUAAUGGUUGGGACCAAAGACACCCAGGGUGGGUCUUCCCUCUUCAGUAAGUCCAUCAUCCACACCCAGAACUGUGUCAAACCAAUCAGUGAACUACGGCAAUAUCACACACCUAUGAUCCAGUCACUUCUAAAAGCACCACUUAUGAGCAUAUGAAGCAUUGGGAGGACAUCUACAUAUAAGCCACAGCACAUGAUGUUUAGAAACUACAGUGGGACACACAGAUACAACCUCUUCAUCUCUCUCCUUGAACCCAUGGCCUUUGCUUCUGCUUAAACUUUCUCAAGGUGCUUUUCAUAUCUUUCUGGGGAGCAUUCUUUAUCUGUUCAAAUGAGUGUCAACCAGGGUUCUUAAAUGUUGUGAAACCACCAGUGUCUCAUGGGCAAACAUAGGGAGACUAUUAGACAUAAUAUUUCUGACAUUCAGAAAGGAAAAACCGAUGAGGGUGAGAGGCUAUUACGCUUUCGAUGGAAAAACACAUAGCCAGCAUUUGGAUGGCUGAAUAUGCAAGAAGCCGGUGACUCCUGCCCUGGAUUCCCGGAGGAUGUUCAUAGCAGGUGAGGUGGUGGUUUGGUUCGACCCAGACUUGGCAGUCCAUCCAGUGGUGGGGUGAAUGUGAG